UGGGGAAUAUUGGACAAUGGGGGCAACCCUGAUCCAGCAAUGCCGCGUGUGUGAAGAAGGCCUUCGGGUUGUAAAGCACUUUUAUCCGGAACGAAACGUGUAGGGUGAAUACCCCUGCAAACUGACGGUACCGGAGGAAUAAGAACCGGCUAACUUAGUGCCAGCAGCCGCGGUAAUACGAAGGGUGCAAGGGUUACUCGGAAUUACUGGGCGUAAAGGGUGCGUAGGUGGUUUGUUAAGUCUGCUGUGAAAUCCCCGGGCUCAACCUGGGAAUGGCAGUGGAUACUGGCAAGCUAGAGUGCGGUAGAGGGUAGUGGAAUUCCCGGUGUAGCAGUGAAAUGCGUAGAGAUCGGGAGGAACACCAGUGGCGAAGGCGGCUACCUGGACCAGCACUGACACUGAAGCACGAAAGCGUGGGGAGCAAAC
rnacentral:rRNA from 1 species